UUUAGGAGCUGCCGAAGGCUGCGAUCUUUGAUCUUUGCGUUUGUAUGGACAAAGUCAAAAGAUCGCAGCCUUCGGCAGCUCCUACA
rnacentral:antisense_RNA from 1 species